GACGAACGCUGGCGGCGUGCUUAACACAUGCAAGUCGAACGGAGCGGCGGACGGGCGAGUAAUGCCUAGGAAUCUACCUGGCAGUGGUGGAUAACGUCCGGAAACGGGAGCUAAUACCGCAUACUAUGAGAUGAGCCUAGGGCGGAUUAGCUAUUUGGUGGGGUAACGGCCUACCAAGGCGACGAUCCGUAACUGGUCUGAGAGGAUGAUCAGUCACACUGGAACUGAGACACGGUCCAGACUCCUACGGGAGGCAGCAGUGGGGAAUAUUGGACAAUGGGCGAAAGCCUGAUCCAGCCAUGCCGCUUGUGUGAAGAAGGUCUUCGGAUUGUAAAGCACUUUAAGUUGGGAGGCGUUACCAACAGAAUAAGCACCGGCUAACUUCGUGCCAGCAGUCGCGGUAAUUC
rnacentral:rRNA from 1 species